UGAAAAACGCCCUUGUACGGAGAAUAGUUAUGUGUUUUUUUGUUAAUAUUGCAUGUAAAACCUUUCUCAGAACAAGGGUGACCAUCUGUAGUUUAUCUCAAUAAAAUUAAAAUGCUAAUAAUUUUAUGAUUUACACUAUGCAAUGCAAACAUGCUAAAUCUCACCCACAAUCUUCCAAACUUCUUUCAUUCCUUUGUGAAACACAAAACUUUCUGAAACUUUUGUAUGGACAAAAACUCUUCUGUUGUUCCACAGAGUUAAAAUAAGCCAUGCAGGAGGGGGAGUAAAUGAAAACACAAUUUUUAGUUUUUGGGUGAACUAACUAUCCCUUUACAUUUGACUAAAAAUCUCCUAGUUACUAAGAUGCAGACAAACGUGACCAUUAAUUCUGCACGGUCUCCUGUACUUCCGCAUAGUUAUUUGUACAAAAUGCGUCUCUUGUAAGGCCCAGUCCUGACAAAUUUCGAGGCACUAUAACAUAAUGCCCCCUCCCCACUGCUGCGUCACACAGCAGCUACAUGCGCCCUUAUGAGUGAGCACUGUAAUAAUAUCACUGCACUAAAUAUGUGAGCAGAUCACAUCAUCUGCGCUGAUCGGCGACGCUGCACGCAGUACGCACUACACGCACUGGAACUGGUCUACAGGUACAGAAGAUGGACGUUAAGGACGAAGGCGCACAAAUGGAGCCUUUGCUGCCCGCGGUGGUCACCUCUCCUGGAAGACAAAGCGUGGUCAGCAAUCCACUCCCAGCAUGCCUCUGGGGAGGAGGCGGGCAGAAUACACUGGUGCAACACCGGGAUGAGAAGCAGUUCCUCCCUAUGAGAGAGAGAGAGACAGAAUGAGAUAAAGACCGUGUAAGUUUAUACUUACGAGAGACACUGCUGAUGUCACUGCUGUAAUCGCUGUGUGUGUGUGUGUGUGUGUGUGUGCAUGCAUGAGUGUGUGUGUGUGCAUGCACUGAAGUUGUACAUCAGUUGAAGCGCAUGCUGCAUGAGGUGAAACGGUCCUGACUCAUUCUGGAUCUGGAAGAAAAACACCAGGAUAUGCAGAAUUUGGACCUUUACAGCCGACUGGACUCUAAGGUAUGAGCAGAAGGCUGGUUUUACUGUAGUUCAGGUUUUAGAGGCAUCUGCUGCAUGCAAACACUGCCAGGUUCUAGCAUUUAGUAAAUGCAUGCAUUUUUAUGAUGCCCUUGAUUGUGUUGUUGCAGUAUUAAUAUUGUCAGAAAAUAUGCAUGUUUUAGAGAAUUAAAAUGAGCUGUUUUUGAGCUUUGUGUGAACUGAGUGCAGUAGUGCACUACAGAAUUGUGGGUGAUGUAGUCGGUGUACUGCAGAGGAUGCAGCAUGUUUUCUGCAGGCUGAAUGUCAUUGAUCAGAUGGGAGGUUAGCGCUGUGGAGGAGGGGUGCAGGAAGCCUCCACUGCUACAGUAAGAAGCAGGUUACGUGCUGCAGAUGUCGGCCAAGACCUCCCAUAAAUCCAGCACAAGUCUCUGACACUGUCCUGCUUCAUCCCUCGCCUUCUUUCUAGGACUAUGAGAAAUAAAGGUACAAAACUGUCACUGGGAUGGUAUCCUUUCAUAAAAGGUACAAAUAUGUACACCUUAGGUACUAAUAUUUAUAUUUUUCUAAUAUGUUUUUAAAGAACUAAUAUGGAUAUUUUAGGGCUAAAUAAGGUACAAAGAUGUACCUUUUAGCUUUUUUA
rnacentral:lncRNA from 1 species